UCACACGUUCUUUCACAUCUUAGUCGAAAGGAUAGGAACAUAUUUAGUCAAAUAUGUUGAUAACAUUUAGACAUAUGUCAAUUCAGAUAAAUUGCAGAUAGAUUUUCACUUCAGAGUCAAAAAGUUCAGAUAGCCUCUCUCUCUUUCAAUUCACUUCUUAAACAUUGAGGCCAGCUACAGCAACCAUCACUGAAAUAGAAGUUAACCAUAUGAGCUACAAUGCUAAGCUUCGAGCAACCAUCACUUCAACCUGUUGUUUUCACAAGAUAGAUUUGCACCUACUAGGAAUGAUAUGGUUGCUUUCACCCUGCACAAAAAAGAACUAGUUAAGUAUGAGCUCUCAGCCUCUCACUCAAGGUACAUAACAUUACUAACUCUGAAGUUUCCUUCUAUAAAUAUUCAGUGCACUAUGCUCAGCUUAUAAAUAUUCAGUGAACUCUGAUGGUUUUUUUUUUUUUCAUUUUGCAGCACUAGCAUUUAGAUCAAUAAAAUUGCAGGAUUCAUAUUCAGAUUAAUGUAGCAUUACAUAUUCAAUGUCAGAUCAACAAACCAUAGUGUUCAGACCUAGGUUUAAGAGAGCUAAUUCAUUCAUAGGUAAGAUAGUGCAUCCACAGCAAAAGAACACAGGUAGCUAAGAUAUCACUGGACGAAUAUAUGUAACUACUGGUCUCUCCGCAUGAGAUGGGCUUGGCUGCAGAAAACAGAGCCUCAUCGUCCUUGGGCUGCUCUCCCAAUUCAGUUGCCUGACCAAGUGAAAGACUUCUUCUCUGUGGCAGUUGCUUCUGAAAUUGGAGACGGUGCAAAUACUCUUUUCUGGUCGGACCGGUGGCUCCAUGGGCAAUGCAUUGCUGACCUUGCACCUCGCCUUUUUGCGGCUGUUUCCAAAAGGAGGGUCAAACGGCGCUCGGUCCGGGACGCCCUCUCUUCCCAGGCUUGGAUUUCAGACAUUCAGGGAGCCCGUACAGUCGGUGUGUUGGUGGAAUUUCUUCAAUUAUGUGAUGUUUUGAUGGACUUUCAGCUGCAGCCUGAGGUUGAGGAUAGACAUAUAUGGAGGCUCUCUUCUAAUGGAAUAUACUCGGCUAAGUCGGCAUAUGAUGGUUUCUUCUUGGGGUCUACUCUUUUUGGACCAUGGGAAAGAAUCUGGAAAUCUUAGGCUCCACCCAAGUGUCGCUUCUUUUUAUGGUUGGUCGCGCACAACGCGUGCUGGACAGCUGAUCGACUCGCACGUCGUGGAUUGCCUCAUCCUGAGUGCUGUCCUCUUUGUGACCAAGAAGAGGAGACUAUUGACCAUCUCCUUGUGAAUUGUGUGUUUGCAAGAGAAUUCUGGUUCUUUCUAUUCCGACAAGUCGGUCUCCAAAACUUGUCCCCUCAAUCUCCUGAUCUAUCCUUCCAUGCUUGGUGGGAUGAUGCUAGCAGCAUCUCCGAGGUCGGAUUGAAGAGGCAAGGAGUCAAUUCACUUAUCAUUCUUGGAGCUUGGACUAUUUGGAACCAUCGUAAUAGUUGUGUUUUUGAUGGAGCGGCCCCGAACCUUGCCAAAGCGCUCAUCUUGGCUGGCGAGGAACGCCGCCUGUGGUCUAUGGCUGGGGCUCGAGGGCUUUCUUUCUUGGCUGCCCUCCUCCCUGGUAGUUAGAGUGUCUAGCUCAGUCGUGGUCGUCUUAUGUUUUGGUGUCUCCGGCUCGAAUGUAAUCCUAGAGUCUGUUUGUGUGGGUGUGUGUGUGUGGGUUUGUGUGGUGUUGUAUGGGCUCUUGCCCUUUAUUCUCUUCUUAAUAUAAUGAAGCGCAGCUCUCCUGCGUUUUCGAGAAAAAAAAAGAAAAAUAUAUGUAACUAAGAUAGGAUUCUCACUGGAACUAAGAUACAUAGCUAAGAUAAACAUGUAACCAAUAUAGAUAGCCGGAACAAAAAAAUAUUACUAUAUGUCAACAAUUAUAUACUAUAGGUACUUUUUGUCACUCAACAAAAAAGAUUGUGCCAUGCUAUAGAUCAACAUUUAAAAGUGUAUAUGUAUACCCAGAUUUGAAUUAAGUUUGUUAAAAAAAAAUUGGAGGAUAGUGUGGUUGCUGAAUAAAAUUCAGAAAACCACCUGGUAGAUAAACCCUGACAUUUUCACACAAUUAAGAAAAUAACUUAUUCCAAGUGUAGAGAUACAUGAAGCUAUAGAAAUACAUCUGCUAACAAUUAUUGUAGCUAAAUUUCAGAAAUCAACUAAUUGCAGUUCAAGCACAAAUCAAAAUUCAGAGAAUAAAACCAAUUCCUUGGUUUCAUCAGUUCAGCUACAAGUAAAAUCAACUACUAGGCAUUUUGAGGAAAAUAGAAUAUUUAGAGUAUCAUAGGAGUUUUAAUAUUGGACUGAUUAGAACACUUCUUUGUGGAGACAAACUUACAAGAAUAUAACAAUAUGCCAACAAUUAUAUACUUGUACAGAUCAAAAUCAUUAUAUACCAAAAUCAACACCUACCAUGGAUUUUGGGGGUUUCCUGGUUUCACAUUUUCCAUGUUCCUUGAGCAAAUUUUACACAAAAAAAAUCAUCGUCAGAAUCUUCUCCUGGAGUACUAAAUGGAGGGAGGACUCCAUCAGCAGUGUAAGUGUCAUCUGGGUCUUCCUCUUCAUCUAACAUGUCAUCGUCAGGUUCAUCCAUUGGUGUUGCAAGAGCCUGCUCAAUGACACAAGCAUCAACACUAGCCCCGCCAAGGCCAGACCUACUCCAAGUUGUCACAUCUUUAUUUUGUUGUUCAAGAUUCAUAUCUUCCACUCCUACAACAAUCGAGCUUGCACACCUUUUCAAUACCUUCUCCAGGCAUGGCAAACAAGUUUCUAGGCUGCAGUCUAAGGACACUACACCAAUUUGGUUUCGUUGGGUUUCUCGUAUAAAAUACUUGCUCUGCUUGUGUGCUAAGGAUGUAACACUCAUCUGAAUAUCUAAACCGAGUGAUAUCAAUAUGGAUGACCCCAAAUUUAUCCUUAGUGUAUCCUCUAGAUUUGUUGGUACUUGCUGCAGGUACAUCAAACCAAACACAUUGAAACAACAUUACUUCCUUCUCACUAGGAAAAUUGAGGCAAAUGAUUUUCCUAAGCACGCCAUACCAGCCCAUGUUUCCUAUACUUGCAUCACCUUUCACAAAUACACCACUGUUUUGAGUAGUUAAGAAGUUCUCUAUGGAAAAUACCUAAAAAAGGAUGCCAUUUAUGAAACACCUGUUGAACACACGAGCUCAACGGUUUGGACCGCGGGAUAGAUAAUAAAUCAUAUCAUCCAUUUUCCCUUGGCCACGCAAUGUCCUGAUCUGCAUUGUGCAUUAUUUUUAAAAUAUAUUAGGGACUAAUAAGUUAACCAGUAGCAUGUGCAAAAUGAAAAAAAUAUAAGGAUAAAUAUAUUAGGGAUGACUCACUUCACGCUCAAACCAUGAUACAAACUCCUCCUUGUGUCUUUUAUCAACACGCCGAGGGUUGAUUUUCUUUAGCUCAGUCAUAUUUAUUAAAUAUAUAAUUGCCAUAGAUGAUAGAUCAAGAUUAACAAUAUCUGGGAGCAAUUUGUCAAACAUAAAUUGAACUGGAGCACCUGAUCGAUGUGUGAACUCGACGACUCGUGUAGACGUGGCUUCCGGCUAAGUGUCUAGCUGCCGACAAGAUCACGUAGAUCGGUGAGGGAACGGUGAUCCAGCGGCAAUGAUGACAAGGACGGGACACCAGCGGCUGCAGGGAGAGGCCGCGACGACACCUGGGGAUUGAUCGCCUAGAGCGGUGAGGGCACGGCGAUCUAGCGGCACCGGUGACAGGAACACAGGACGACACCUGGAGAGUGAUCGCCUAGAGUGGUGAGGGCACGGCGAUCCAGUGGCACCGGUGAUCGGAACACAGGCGCCUGCGAUGAUGCCUUGGAAAGAGAGGAAGCGAGGAUGACCAAUGACUACAGGUCGAUCAUCCACGAGGAUGGCACAG
rnacentral:lncRNA from 1 species